rnacentral:rRNA from 1 species
UACGUAGGGUGCGAGCGUUUAAUCGGAAUUACUGGGCGUAAAGGGCGCGUAGGCGGCCGAUCAAGUCGGGGGUGAAAGCCUGUGGCUCAACCACAGAAUUGCCUUCGAUACUGUUUGGCUUGAGACCGGAAGAGGUUAGUGGAACUGCGAGUGUAGAGGUGAAAUUCGUAGAUAUUCGCAAGAACACCAGUGGCGAAGGCGGCUGACUGGUCCGGUUCUGACGCUGAGGCGCGAAAGCGUGGGGAGCAAACAGG